UCCUCCUCUCUUCUUUAACUUUGAAAUCUUCUAACCCUAAAUUCUGCAGCCACCAAUCAAAUUUUCUUGCUUUCAUUUCCUAUCCUCGUAGAUUAUUUUUUCCAUCGACGAUUUGAAGAUUUACUAUGGCCGGUAAAGGAGAAGGUCCGGCGAUCGGAAUCGAUCUUGGAACCAAGUACUCUUGCGGAAUGGAAAUGGCCGAAAUGGAAAUGGAAAUGGAGGAACGCUCCUUUGUUGUCUCUUCAGACCCUCACCAGGUUCACGCCAUCAUGGGAAAGAAUGGUUCUGGAAAAUGCACAUUUGCAAAGAUAAUUGAAGUCAUAUCGGGUUGAAAGCUAAGCGAUUGUGCAGAGAUUGCCAAGCGACCGUUGAAAAUUGAAGACUGAGAAGGCAUUUAGGAUUUUUAAUUAUUUAAUUCUUGUAUUAGAAUAUUUUUUCAUGUACUAUUGUAGAAUGUAUAUACAUAAUAUUAAGAUUUUAUUUUGUGUAUAAAAGACAAAUAUUAUAGUUUCUAACAUAAUAUGAAUUUCAUUGA